ACAGGAGCUGCCUAGGGUAAAACAGGUAACUAGGGCUAAGUCGUAACAAGGUAGCCGUACCGGAAGGUGCGGCUGGAACAUCUCAUUUUAGAGC
rnacentral:rRNA from 2 species